rnacentral:rRNA from 1 species
UGAACGCUGGCGGCAUGCUUUACACAUGCAAGUCGAACGGUAACAGGCCGCAAGGUGCUGACGAGUGGCGAACGGGUGAGUAAUGCAUCGGAACGUGCCCAGUCGUGGGGGAUAACUACUCGAAAGAGUAGCUAAUACCGCAUACGAUCUAUGGAUGAAAGCGGGGGACCGUAAGGCCUCGCGCGAUUGGAGCGGCCGAUGUCAGAUUAGGUAGUUGGUGGGGUAAAGGCUCACCAAGCCAACGAUCUGUAGCUGGUCUGAGAGUACGACCAGCCACACUGGAACUGAGACACGGCCCAGACUCCUACGGGAGGCAGCAGUGGGGAAUUUUGGACAAUGGGCGCAAGCCUGAUCCAGCAAUGCCGCGUGCAGGAAGAAGGCCUUCGGGUUGUAAACUGCUUUUGUACGGAACGAAACGGCUCUGGUUAAUACCCGGGGCUAAUGACGGUACCGUAAGAAUAAGCACCGGCUAACUACGUG